rnacentral:rRNA from 1 species
GACGAACGCUGGCGGCGUGCUUAACACAUGCAAGUCGAACGGAAAGGCCCUGCUUUUGUGGGGUGCUCGAGUGGCGAACGGUGAGUAACACGUGAGUAACCUGCCCUUGACUUUGGGAUAACUUCAGGAAACUGGGGCUAAUACCGGAUAGGAGCUCCUGCUGCAUGGUGGGGUUGGAAAGUUUCGGCGGUUGGGGAUGGACUCGCGGCUUAUCAGCUUGUUGGUGGGGUAGUGGCUUACCAAGGCUUUGACGGGUAGCCGGCCUGAGAGGGUGACCGGCCACAUUGGGACUGAGAUACGGCCCAGACUCCUACGGGAGGCAGCAGUGGGGAAUAUUGCACAAUGGGCGGAAGCCUGAUGCAGCAACGCCGCGUGCGGGAUGACGGCCUCGGUGUAACGACUUCGCCUGUGACGAAGCGUGAGUGACGGUAAUGGGUAAAGAAGCACCGGCUAACUACGUGCCAGC